rnacentral:rRNA from 1 species
CAGUCGCCGGGGAAUACGUAGGUGGCAAGCGUUGUCCGGAAUUAUUGGGCGUAAGGGCUCGCAGGCGGUUUCUUAAGUCUGAUGUGAAAGCCCCCGGCUCAACCGGGGAGGGUCAUUGGAAACUGGGAAACUUGAGUGCAGAAGAGGAGAGUGGAAUUCCACGUGUAGCGGAGAAAUGCAUAGAGAUGUGGAGGAACACCAGUGGCGAAGGCGACUCUCUGGUCUGUAACUGACGCUGAGGAGCGAAAGCGUGGGGAGCGAACAGGAUUAGAGACCCGGGUAGUCCCUGUCUCUUAUACAC